GAAUACAUGGCUGAAUGGUUAAAGCACUUGACUCAUAAACAAAUUUAUAACGUACAUUGUAUUAAUAAAUAUAAUUCUUUUCA
rnacentral:tRNA from 1 species